GUUUGAGUCAAUAGCGGCAUCUAUGACUCUGGAACGAUAACCUACAUCUUACUGUAUUACACGUUUCAACUUUGUUAUAAUCUGAGUAUUAUUCUGUCUUUGCUUUCGACACAUCUCAGCCAAGACUUGUUCUAUCUCUAUCAUAGCUUGCAUUGGAAAGUUGAACAUCGGUCACGAGUCUAGGUAAAACCUAGCCGACACUCAAUUUUAACAUCAAAUCAGAAUGGCUUGAAUUAUCGACCUGUUAAUGAAUGAUUCAUUUCAUAAUGAGAGUACGAGAUCAAAGUUUUUUUUAAAGUUAGUCUUCCAUUUUAAACUUUGUUGCCACGAAUAAAACUGCAUGAUAUGCAGCGAAUUCCAGGUAUCUUGUUACCUUAUCUAAUAACAGAUCUAAAUGGCGAGUAUUUUAUGGCUACACUAAUUAACCUUGAAGCAAAAUUUACAGAAUCUAGUUUAACAGAUCUAAAAAUUAUUCUUAAUAAUGCUAGAAUAGUCCAUUAUUCGGGUGUGGCGUCUAUAAUUUCAGAAUUAAACUUCACACUCGAGUUAUUACCCCUCUAUUCAUCUUUCCUCAAUCCAAUGGAAACUCUCUUUUUAUUUCCAUCUAAUCCUUUUGCUUUCGCACAAAACAUAAACAAAAAACAAUGACGUAAUAUCAUAUAAUAUUAGCACAUCCUUCCUUUUGAA